rnacentral:rRNA from 1 species
CCUACGGGACGCACCAGUGGGGAAUAUUGGACAAUGGGCGCAAGCCUGAUCCAGCAAUGCCGCGUGAGUGAAGAAGGCCUUAGGGUUAUAAAGCUCUUUCGGCGGGGAAGAUGAUGACGGUACCCGCAGAAGAAGCCCCGGCUAACUCCGUGCCAGCAGCCGCGGUAAUACGGAGGGGGCUAGCGUUGUUCGGAAUUACUGGCGUAAAGGGCGCGUAGGCGGUGCGGUAAGUUAGGCGUGAAAGGCCCGGGCUCAACCCGGGAACUGCGCUUAAAACUGCCGCGCUCUGAGUCCGAGAGAGGAUAGCGGAAUUCCCAGUGUAGAGGUGAAAUUCGUAGAUAUUGGGAAGAACACCAGUGGCGAAGGCGGCUAUCUGGCUCGGUACUGACGCUGAGGCGCGAAAGCGUGGGGAGCAAACAGGAUUAGAUACCCCGGUAGUC